GGGUUGUGAGGUUAAGCGACUAAGCGUACACGGUGGAUGCCCUGGCAGUCAGAGGCGAUGAAGGACGUGCUAAUCUGCGAUAAGCGUCGGUGAG
rnacentral:rRNA from 1 species